CGCUGGGUUGAGGGCAUGAGGGGCACUGAGGGGAUCACAGAAUAUUCUGAGCUGGAAGGGACCCGCAGUGAUCAUGAAGUCCAACUCCUGAAGUGAAUGGCCCACAGAAGGGAUCAAACACCAUCUCGGUGUUGUCAGUACGUACCAUGCUCCAACCAACCGAGCUGACCCCGGGAUCACCUGAGGGCAUGGCCACAGUGUAUUACCCAGUCUCUAUCCGAAGUCAGGAGCUAGCCAGUCAUCAGAAGGUUUCCAGUACAAACUGAAGCAUGACUGAGGCUCACACAGGAUCUCUCAGAGCCCAUGAAAGAGAUCAGAAAACUAAAAGCAAGACCAGUGUCCUAGAGGGUGGGACCAUCUUCUUUCCUGUGGUGUUCACCAAACAACCUCGUGCACUUGGAAAUGCCCUUCUUGAGUGAUUUUGUGAAUAUUCAUCUCAUCUGAAAAAAAUGCCUGAACAAAAUCCCUCAUUUCUUUCUGUCUCUAAUUUCUUUCUGCCUUUUUAUUUGAGCAGUAAAAUGCAGAUGGUUUCUCAGCAAGAAUCCCAUGGAAGGAAUGAAAGAAGGAAGGGAAGGCUCACUAAUCCCAAAAAGCCAGAUGAGGUCAGUGUUAGCAGAAGACACACAGUACCACACUGGUAGCCUCAAGUGCACCUGAAUACCCACACUGCCCGUGCCCCCAAGUCCCAACCCCUCCCUCCCACAGAGGAGCAGCAGAAAGAAAUGAAACAACUGCAGAUGAGCAAGGCAAGGAGUUCAGGAAGGCUCUAAUCUCAUGAACUCGCUGGAGGGGGAUGAGGUGAGAAGAACUUGUUCUUAUUUGCUGAGAAAUAGAAGGUUUGUCGUAAGCAAACUUCGUCAAAGUGCCUGAGCAUUGCUGUGUUUCUGCUGAUGUUGCAUGAGGUUGUGCUUGAUGGACUUUGGAUUACCCCAAAUUUUAGGAGCCUGACUAUCUCUCAGUUGCAGAAGCUGGUAUCAAAGUACAGGAAUGUCUGGAAGUAGGCUGGUGAACUGCAAGACUCAUUUCUCUUUAAAAAGAAAAUUUUAUUUUGCAUUUCAUAUGACUCUUUGUCAGCAAGUUCAUGCUGUUAAAAAGAUCCGGGAAAGCAGAAAACAGACUUGCCACUAUUACAAUAGUUUAGAAGCUUCGAAUUAGCUCUGUCAGUUCCCAUGUCCAAAAUGGAAAUGUCUUAAAAUCUCCUGAUUUGUAAUUCCUAGAACAAUAUAAAAACACCUUGCAGAUGUUGGAAGUUGGAACAGACACCAAGAGGAACAACUACACUCCCAACAUAAAAAGUUUAGAAUUAGUUGGGAUGAAUCCAUGUUCCAUGUCUAUCCGCUCUGUGUUCUACCAGUGGGUGGGGGGUGACUUGUCUGUCUUUUGUGCUGGAAAAAUAGUUUUUUCUUGUUCUCCACUGGCAAAGUUUUCAGCCAAGCCCUGAUUCCGGCUCCACUUUGUCUCUGGUGUCACGAGUGAUGCUCCCUGGCUGGCAUGUGCCUUGUGCUUAUCUGAAUUGCUCACAACCCAUUAAUGCUCCUCUAUCUAAUUACUGCCUCAUUAAUCGUUUGCAGUCAGUUUAUGUACUCAUGCUGUUUUCCUGCUUUCAGUGUGUUUGGAUAACAAAACGUGUUUCUAUGAAAUGCUUUAUAUGGAGUUGUUUAUAGCAGGAAAUAGAUAUAAAAGAGCAGUUGUGUCAUUCCUAGUAAAAUCCUCAUGUGCCACAAGCCAAACAUCCCAGAAGAUACUGGGGAUACUCCCGUGAGCUUCUCCCUCCCUGUGCUGAGCUGUGGUUCGGGCUGUCAUGAGUCUGGACAAGAAGAACAGAAAAAUGACAUGCAACUUAAAAA